rnacentral:rRNA from 1 species
GACGAACGCUGGCGGCGUGCUUAACACAUGCAAGUCGAACGGAAAGGCACUGCUAUUGUGGGGUGCUCGAGUGGCGAACGGGUGAGUAACACGUGAGUAACCUGCUCUUGUCUUUGGGAUAACUUCAGGAAACUGGGGCUAAUACCGGAUAGGAGCUCCUGUUGCAUGGAGGGGGUUGGAAAGUUUCGGCGGUUGGGGAUGGACUCGCGGCUUAUCAGCUUGUUGGUGGGGUAGUGGCUUACCAAGGCAUGGACGGGUAGCCGGCCUGAGAGGGUGACCGGCCACAUUGGGACUGAGGUACGGCCCAGACUCCUACGGGAGGCAGCAGUGGGGAAUAUUGCACAAUGGGCGGAAGCCUGAUGCAGCAACGCCGCGUGCGGGAUGACGGCCUUCGGGUUGUAAACCGCUUUCGCCUGUGACGAAGCGUGAGUGACGGUAAUGGGUAAAGAAGCACCGGCUAACUACGUG